rnacentral:lncRNA from 1 species
CCCGUCACGUCCUCGUUUCCCCAUACUUUGAGAAUGCUUGUGGAGGAGAUUUGGAAGUGGUUGGUGUGCAAAAUUCCCCCCAAACUUGACUUGGGCAAUUCGUCGAACACCUUGUGGGCGUUCUUGGUGGAAUGGAUUUUUGGAGACAAUUGCUUGUUCUUGAAUCCUCCCUGUGCCAAUCAACAACAACUCACUUAGAUAAGUAACAAUAUGUGUGGAUUUGGUGAAUUUUCAGUGAAAUUGUUCAAGAAAAUCGAAAAAUAUUGAAAAAGGGGGAUUAGGGUUCGAAUUAGGGGAGAAGUGGGGAUUGGAGUUGUG